CGUCCCUCGCGGCCCUAUGAAAAGGCGGGGCUCGCGGCGCUGGGCGUCAGAAUGCUCUUGGGAACUGGUGGGAGAGGAAUCUUGAUCCUGUGUGACUUGCCUCCCCCUAUACCAAGCUCACCUACCUUUUGAAACGUAAUGGAUUCCAUUCCUGCUGGACAGCCUGGGAUCUGGCUCGCCCAAGGCCCUGCACUAAGCAGCCACUGCCUCUGGCUGCUACAGGGACCGGAGUCUCAGAGGGCGAAACCAUGGCAGCAAGGACACAAGGGAGAGAGGAAGGCAGCCUGGACUGCAGCUCCUGUUUUCUAGAGCCAAUACCACAAUACGUGUAAUGCAGUGAUUUUUACAUAAAAAUAGAGGUGCGUAUCAGCCGAUAUGUACAUAUCUGAUCUACCAGCCUCAUAAUCCUGAGGGAGAAGAAAAGGAAGAAGAAGAGGAAAAGAAGGAAGAGAAGAAGAGGAGAGAUGCCCAGCAAACUCAGUGAAUUUUAGUUGACUGACUGCAUCCUUUUUGGACAUUGAAGCAAAUUUCGGAAGCUCUUCCAGAAACCUUUGCAUUGUGGCCUCUACCAUCUGCAUGGCUACGGCAGGCAAGUAGCUGCUCCACCAUGAGGAGCAGAGCGAACAGAGUUGGCACGUUUGUUGUUCAAACUCUGGUUCUGUCCCUUAUCUGCUGGGUCUUUAGGCAAGUGAUUUCUCUCUACUUAUUGUCAGGCGAGGAAACAGGCUUUAAUAUCAUCAAACUUAAAGGGUAAUCAGGAGAAGCAAACUAGGAUCAUGCAUGCAAAGCACUCAGUCUGGUGGCACAUGCACUCCAAAAUUCUCUCUGCUCCUUUUGUCUAUUUAGCCAUAGAUAGCAAAGGCUAGUCUAACUAACGUUUCCUAGUAACCAAAAUUUUAAAACAUUCUACCCCUAAAUGACCAUUAGCAUGUAAAUGAGUGAUACCUGAUCAGUGAAACAAUGCAACAUUAGGUAUGUAAACUGCCAACAUUUCUCCAGUUAAGUUAGUAUGUAAGAAGAAAGGGUUGCCUCACUCAGCAAGAACUUUUCCAGACAAUUACAAAGAAUCAGAAUUGAACUGAAUGGUAAAUAGAUCUAAACAAUGAAAAACAUCAAUGAAGUAUUUUCUUUUUGCUAAUCUAUCUUGCACUUGAAAUGAUGAACUGAAAACUGAUGGCCAUCUUGAUGGCAAAAAAUACUUCCAAAUGUUGCUGACAAAUGUACACCUUUGAGACCUUAGAUUUCCUUCUGAAACCAAGUGUAUUACUUGCAGCACACAAUGAGGCAGGAAGGCUGAACGAGAGCCCCUGUUCUGAUUCCUCAGCUUUCCAGAUGAAAGGAGCAAUAGAGUGAAAGGAGCCAUCACCUUGGGGUCUCAGGAGCAAGGUUUGAAACCUAGGUUUUUGACUCAGAAGCCGUGUCAUUCUGGACUCAACCUCUUUGAGCCUGAGUUUCCUCACUUGUAAAAUGGGAAUAAUGCCUGAUUUACAUGGCUCACGUGAGGAAAUGGUAU